UAAUUGGGCAUGAACACUGUGGGAUCCUUGAAAGGUCUAUGUUGGUACAAAAGAUUAUGGAUCCUGUGGGAUGUGAGGCUUUUAAUCAAGAGUGGUCUCCACACCUGUAGGUGGGGUAUUUUGGGAAAAAGAGGACCCAUCACGGUUUUAUGGAUUGCUACAAGAACUGCUGCAAGACUCCCACUGAGGAGAACCACCUGCUGUGGCCUUCCUGGCAUUCUGAGGUCUUAUUAAAUCAUACCAUACCUACUAUUCUACAGUAACCAAUUUAAUUAACAUUGUAAAUUGGGUCAAAACAGAAACCUUUUCAGAAGGAAAAAAAAGGCAACUCAGCAUGGUAACAACUUCAUUUAAAAAUUAGUGCAUAAGUUUCAGAAAGAAAGGCAACAGUCCCAAAAAUGAAUGUCUGAAAUUCAACAUGGAAAGAUUAACAACGAAAUCGGUUAACAUCUGGAUGAAUCAAAAUAUCAACUGAAGGCCUUCCUACUCCCCAAGACACGAUAAUAUUGAAAUUAGUCCAAUUAAUAACCCUACGAUGGCCUUGAAGUGUUCAAAGUGAAAGAGCGGCACAUCUCUCACUUUAAAUCAAAAGCUAGAAGUAAUUAAGCUUAGUGAGGAUGGCAUGUAGAAAGCUGAGAUAGGCCAAAAGCUAGGCCUGUUCCAUCAAACAAUUAACCAAGAUGCUAAUACAAAGGAAAAGUUCUUAAAGGAAACAGAAUGUGCUACUCCAGUGAAUACAUGAAAGAUAAAGUGAAGUAGCCUUAUUGCUGAUAUGGUGAAAGUUUUAAUGGUCUGGACAGAAGAUCAACCUAAUCCAGAGCCAAGCCCUACCUCUCUUUAAUUCUGUGAAGGUUUCAAGGGCUGAAGAAGCUGCAGAAGAAAAGUUGGAAGCUAGCAGAGGUUGGUUCAUGAAAUUUAGGUAAAGAAGCCUUUUCUACAACUUAAAAGUACAAGGUGAAGUAGGAAGUGCUGAUAUAGAGGCAGCAGCAAGUUAUCCAGGAGAUCUAGCUAAGAUACUUAAUGAAGGUGGCUGCAAAAAACAAUAAAUUUUCAGUGUAGAUGAAAUAGACUUCUACUAGAAGAUGCCAUCCAUGACUUCCAUAGCUAGAGAAAAGAUGUCAAUGCCUGGCUUCAAAGCUUCAAAGCUUCAAAGACAGGCUGACUCUCUUGUUAGGGACUAAUGCAGCUGGUGACUUUAAGUUGAAGCCAAAUAGUCAUUUACCAUUCCAAAAGUCCUGGGGCCCUUCAAAAUCAUGUUAAAUUUAUUCUGCCUGUGCUCUAUGAAUAGAACAGCAAAGUCUGGAUGACUAUGCAUCUGUUUACAACAUGGUUUGCUAUACUUUAAGUCCACUGUUGAGACCGACUGCUCAGAAGAUUCUUUUCAAAUUAUCACUGCACCUGCUCAACCAAGAUCUCUGAUGCAGAUGUACAAUGAGAUUAAAGUUGUUUUCAUGCCUUCUAAUACAACACCCAUUAUGCAGCCCAUGGAUCAAGGGGUCAUGUUGACUUUCAAGACUUAUUACUUAAGAAAUACAUUUCAUAAUGCUAUAGCUGCCAUAGAUAUUGAUUCUUCUGAUGGAUCUGAGCAAAGUAAAUGGAAAACCUUCUGGAAAGGAUUCACCAUUAUAGAUGCGAAUAUAAACAUUUGUGACUCAUGGGAAGAGAGCAAAAUAUCAGCAUUAACAGGAGUUUGGAAGAAGUUGAUUCCUACUCUCAUGGAUGAUUUUAAUUUCAGGACUUCAGUGGAGGAAAUAACUGCAGAUGUGUUGGAAAUAGCAAGAGAGCUAGAAUGAGAAUGGAGCCUGACGAUGGGACUGGAUUGCUAUGAUCUCAUGAUUAAAUUGAAUGGAUGAAGAGUUGCUUCCUGUGGGUGAACAAAGAAAGUGGCUUCUUGAGAUGGAAUCUGCUCCUGGUGAAGAUGCUCUGAAGAUUGUUGAAAUGACAACAAAAGAUUCAGAAUAUUACAUAAACUAAGCUGAUCAGGCAGUGGCAGGUUUUGAGAGUAACAACUCCAAUUUUGAAAGAAGUUCUACUGUGGGUAAAUGCUAUCCAAAAGCAUUGCACCUCCAUAAAAAUUAUUAAAGAAAGUCAAUUGAUAUAACAAACUUCACUGUUGUCUAUUUUAAGAAGUUGUCACAGCUACCCCAACUUCAGCAACCAUCACGCUCAUCAGUCAACAGCCCUCAAAACUGAGACAAAAUCAGCUCCACCAACGAAAAGGUUAUCACUCACUGACCACUCAGACAAUGAGCUCAGAUAAUUUUCUAGCAAUAAAGUAUUUUGUAAUUAAGGUACAUACAUUGUUUUGUUUCGUUUUUAGAUAGAAUGCUACAGCACACUUAAUAGACUAUAGUAUAGUGUAAACAUAAACUCUAAGUAGUAAA